GAGAGCGUGGUGUAGUGGUUUGAGUGUUGGACUACCACACUGAAGACCAGGGUUCGAUUCCCUGCUCAGCCA
rnacentral:tRNA from 1 species